UACGUAGGGGGCUAGCGUUGUCCGGAUUUAUUGGGCGUAAAGAGCGUGUAGGCGGCCAGGUAGGUCUGCUGUGAAAACUCGAGGCUCAACCUCGAGAUGUCGGCGGAAACCAUCUGGCUAGAGUCCGGAAGAGGGAGAGUGGUAAUUCGUGGUGUAGCGGUGAAAUGCGCAGAUAUCAGGAAGAACACCCGUGGCGAAGGCGGCUCUCUGGGACGGUACUGACGCUGAGGAGCGAAAGCGUGGGGAGCGAACAGG
rnacentral:rRNA from 1 species